rnacentral:rRNA from 1 species
AACGAACGUUAGCGGCGCGCCUAACACAUGCAAGUCGAGCGAGAAAGGGAGCAAUCCCCGGUACAGCGGCGCACGGGUGAGUAACACGUAGGUAACCAACCUCCGAGUGGUGGAUAACCUUCCGAAAGGAGGGCUAAUACAGCAUAAGCCCACGAUUCCGAGAGGAGUUGAGGGAAAAGCCGGCCAAUCCAUGGAAGCUGGCGCUUGGAGACGGGCCUGCGGCCCAUCAGCUAGUUGGUGAGGUAAUGGCUCACCAAGGCAAAGACGGGUAGCUGGUCUGAGAGGAUGAUCAGCCACACUGGAACUGAGACACGGUCCAGACUCCUACGGGAGGCAGCAGUGGGGAAUCUUGCGCAAUGGGCGAAAGCCUGACGCAGCGACGCCGCGUGGGUGAUGAAGGCCUCGGUUGUAAG